rnacentral:ncRNA from 1 species
AAUGAAGGCAUCAGCGAGUCUUUCGCCUUCGCCGAAAGGUGCGGGUAACCUGCAAAACCGCCUUCGUGCUAGGGAUCGGGGAUUGCAAUUAUCUCCCAUGAAC